CUUUAUUCAUGCGAGGUAGACAAAACAAAAUAGGGGAAUAACAGAAAAUUAAAAAAAAUGUGGAAAAUGAUACAGCAGUGCAGUCUGCACACACUGAAAUAGCACAACAAGUGCAUAUUGAAUUGAGAAAAAAAAAAGCUUCACACAAAAAGGAGCAAUAAUUAUGUUAAUAAGGACAAAUACAAUAAAAAGCAAGUACCAAGAUGAAGAAGUCUAUUAUCACCCAUUUGUGUAUGUCUUGAGCAUUUCUUUAUAUUUUGAUUCCAAGGAGCCAGACUUUAUUGUGAUUUUUAAGUGCUCUUAGGCAGUCAUUCGGCCGGUCUUCAGGAGAUUCUUUUUUCUUUUCUUUUUUUUUAAGGAAAUUUGCUCCUUUUUUACUCAUUUCCAGUCCAGUCUUUGCACUGGACCGUUUUCAGAGGAAUUUCAUUUUGUUUGUUAAUCUACUUAACACUGACUUAUAAAUCACUCAUAAAUGCAUCUAACGAAAGUGUUUUCUCUACACAGACAACUUAACAAUGAACCUAUGUUAAACUGUAUGUUUAGGCACUUUGUUACUAGCAGCUUGUUGGAAAGCAUAUAAACUUUCCCAUUUCUUUAGUUUAAUCUACAAAAUAAAUAAAUAAAAAUAAAUGCCAAAGGUAAGAUACCAGCAAGGUGAUUCCCAAAGAGCUUUUUUCUUUUUUUUUUUUACAUAUUCUUUGCUAAAUAUAACGAAAUGAGGAUUGCAUCACGGGUUUUGCACUGACCUGUAUAUUUAAUUUAUAGACAGUGCAACUUUAAACCACUAUCUUUCUACUUGCAAUUAUCUCUAAAAGCAACCAUGAAGACGCUUACAAUCGUAUUGGAGUGUAUCAGAGUGUAAACAUUUUGUCUGCCUAUACGGGUGUCAAACUCAUUUAAGUUAAUGGGCCACAUAUAUCCCAUUUUGAUCUAAACUGGACUAUGCUAGAAAAACUAUAAUGUAUAAACUAGCAAAGAAUAAUAACCUUGAGAGAACCAUGCAAAAUAAAUC
ensembl:lncRNA